rnacentral:rRNA from 1 species
GACGAACGCUUGCGGCGUGCCUAAGAAAUGCAAGUUGAGCGGGGUGUAGCAAUACACCUAGCAGCGAACGGUCGCGUAACACGUAAGCAACCUGCCCCGAAGACCGGGACAACAUCGCGAAAGUGGUGCUAAUACCGGAUGUGACCACUGGCCGGCAUCGGCUGGUGAUUAAAGCCUGUACAAGGGCUUCGGGAUGGGCUUGCGGCCUAUCAGCUAGUUGGUGGGGUAACGGCCUACCAAGGCGACGACGGGUAGCUGGUCUGAGAGGACGGCCAGCCGGACUGGGACUGAGACACGGCCCAGACUCCUACGGGGGGCAGCAAUUAGGAAUCUUGCGCAAUGGGCGAAAGCCUGACGCAGCGACGCCGCGUGGAGGACGAAGUCCCUCGGGAUGUAAACUCCUUUUGUUCGGGACGAAGGAUGUGACGGUACCGAACGAAUAAGCCCCGGCUAACUACGUGCCAGCCGCCGCCGUAAUAC